rfam:Moorella sp. 60_41 MPF_scaffold_112, whole genome shotgun sequence.
CCGUGCUAGACGGGGAGGUAGCGGUGCCCUGUAACCCGCAAUCCGCUAUAGCGGGGUCGAAGUCCCACUGGCGGGCCGGGUCUGUGGGGACUGCCCGGCGUAAGGGGCGAGGACAGCCGGGUCCUGCGCGGCGAGAACUCAUGAACCCCGUCAGGUCCGGAAGGAAGCAGCGGUAAGUGAGCCCUCUCGGGUGCCGCAGGAGUGCCUGGCUGGAGUUACCUGCUCCGGUCACGCCCGGAGGCUGCGGUUCAACAGUGGGUGCACGG